GAGGGUAUGGCUCAAGUUUAGAGCACGUGCUUAGCAUGUAUGAGGUCCUGGGUUCAAUCCCCAGUACUGCCU
rnacentral:tRNA from 1 species